ACAAAAUACCUACGAAAACAACACACCUUAAUGGACAAGAAGAACGGGGAGAGCCUGGCUUUCCUCCCCACACUCGCCCUACCUGCCAGCAGCUGUCUUUGGAAGAGCUGGCCCUCACUGGCAUAGUUCCCAGGCAAGAUUUGGCUUCUACAGCACCCUCUCUGUUGCAUUGAAGAUGGCCUGUCUUCCUAUGUCCUUCACACAUCAACAUCCCUGGUGUCUCUUAAUGAUACUAGGUGACAGCUACUCCACAUCUCCUGCUGCCACGAUGAACUAUACCACUGCGCUGUGAACCAAGAGAAACCUUUCCAUUGAGCUGAUAUUUUGGAAGAAAACACUGUGAAUCUCAUGUGGGAACCCAAUGUGUAGAAAGCAUGUGGCCCAGAAGAAGGAGUAGCCUUGAGAUGUUUCAUUUGAGGGGAAGGAGCAGGCAUAUUCAGCUUUGGAACUUGGACUUUAUGGGACUCAGUUCUCAUAUAUUCUCCAGGGAGAAGAUUCCCAUCCCUGAAAUAUGACCUCCAAAACCUGCUGCCUAUCACUGAAUACAGCAGCCUGCUAGCAGUCUCUGGUCCAAACCCUGAGGCUUCUGAGGUUCUGGGUUAGAUCUCCUCAGGACUGGGGAUCUGGCUUUGCUGUGAACCAUUCCAAGCACCUGUCUUAGUUUAAAUGAUGAGCCCUUGGGAUUCUCACAUGUCCUGACUUAUAUAUAGGGCUACACUGACCAUGAUUGGAGCUACUGGCCAUUUCAAGGAAAAGGCACGGUGUCACCAUCUACCCAGUCUGGGAUGUAAGUCUGAGGCACCGUGAGCAAAUCUCAGCAUCCACUCACUAUGCUGCAGGACCUGCCCAUGCUCACUGGUACUACUGCUGGGCCUGCAACCUUUAUCCCAAGGAUAACAACCACCUCAAUUUCUGCACUAUAACUCUUUUGCUUCUCUUUGAUGUAGAACUCAUAACAUAGCCCAGGUUAACGUGGAAUUCCCAGUAAUCCUUCUGCUUCAGCCCCCAAGUACUGUGACUACAGGCAUGGAACCA